rnacentral:lncRNA from 1 species
GGCCGAGAACUCGUCAACUCGGGCGCGUUUUCGAACAGAGACCCUACGUAACCUAAAACCUUUCUAACCCUAAACCCUUUCUAGCCCUAAACCCUGCCUAACCCUAAACCCUUUCAAACCCUAAACCCUACCUAACCCUAAACCCUCCCAAACCCUAAACCCCUUCUAACCCUAAAUCUGACCUAACUCUAAACCCUGCCUAACCCUAAACCCAACCUAACCCUAAACCCUUUUUAACCUUAAACCCUUUCUAGCCCUAAAUCCUACUAACCAUAAACCCUACUAACCAUAUAUCCUUUCUAACCCUAUACCCUGCUAACCCUAAACCCUACCUAAUUCUAAACCCUACCUAACCCUAAACUCUACUAACCCUAAACCUAGCCCUAAAACCUACCUAACCCUAAACCCUACUAACCCUAAGCCCUACCUAAUUCUAAACCCUACCUAGCCCUAAACCCUACCUAACUCUUAACCCUACCUACCCUAACCCUACCUAACCCUAAACCCUACCUAGCCCUAAACCCUACUAACCCUAAACCCUACCUAACCCUAAACCCUACCCAACCCUAAACCCUACUAAGUUUAAACCCUACUAACCCUAAACCCUACCUAACCCU